AUCCCAUGAUGAGGACACUUACGGAGUAACUCCUUGAAUCGCUCCCAAGCCUCAUACAAAGACUCGUCAUCCAAUUGUUGGAAAGUGGGAAAUACUUUCGUUCCUUAACUU
rfam:Gossypium raimondii chromosome 2, whole genome shotgun sequence.